GACGAACGCUGGCGGCGUGCCUAAUACAUGCAAGUCGAACGCACACGCGUUAGAUUGGGGAAGCUUGCUUCUGAUUGAUAACAUUUGAGUGGGUGACGGACGGGUGAGUAACACGUGGGUAACCUGCACUAAAGGGGGGGAUAAUAUAUGGAAACAGACGGUAAUACCGCAUAAAACCUAGCACCGCAUGGUGCAAGGUUGAAAGAUGGUUUCGGCUAGCUGUUUAGGAUGGACCCGGGGUGCAUUAGUUAGGUGGUGAGGUAAAGGCUCACCAAGACCGUGAGGGAUCGCCGACCUGAGAGGUUGACCGGCCACAAUGGGCCUGAGGUACGGCGCAGAAUCCUACGGGCGGCAGCAGUCGGGAAUCUUGCACAAUGGCGGGAAGUCUGAUGAAGCAGUGCUGCGUGCGGGAUGCCGGCCUUCGGGUUGUAAACCGCUUUCGCCUGUGACGAAGCGGGAGUGACGGUAAUGGGUAAAGAAGCACCGGCUAACUACGUG
rnacentral:rRNA from 1 species